AAGAGUUCGUCGAGCAAAGUCUGUUUAAAAAUAAAAACGUUCGUGUACUACCGCGGAAUCCCAAAUGACGAAAUCAAAUACCGUUAUACAUUCCUGGAAAGCAUCGCACUGACGCCAAUACGUGACGCAAUUUUCGAGAAUCUUCAUUUCUUGGUUGCUUUUUUCUUAACUCCGAGAGGAUAAUCAUUCCACGGGUAUAUCGUGGUUAUAGUUCGUAAUAAAAUUCAUCGCAAGGUGAAUUCGCUUGGUCGGAUGGAACGGAUCACUAGAUGGGGACAAAUUCCCUAGAAUCAGGAGGAUCGUUCGACCGAAUCGCCAUCACGAUUGAAGAGGUCACUGAACAAAAGAAUUAUCCUCUUUGAAGAUGGCAGAAUCGUUCAAUCGACGAAAAAAAGAAAAAAGAAAAAGAAAGAAGGAAAGAAAAAAAAAACCAAGAACAAAAACAGAAAAGAGAAAAGAAAAAGAAAAAAGAAGUCUAAA